UGGGGAAUUUUGGACAAUGGGCGAAAGCCUGAUCCAGCAAUGCCGCGUGUGUGAAGAAGGCCUUCGGGUUGUAAAGCACUUUUGUCCGGAAAGAAAUCCUUGGCUCUAAUACAGUCGGGGGAUGACGGUACCGGAAGAAUAAGCACCGGCUAACUACGUGCCAGCAGCCGCGGUAAUACGUAGGGUGCAAGCGUUAAUCGGAAUUACUGGGCGUAAAGCGUGCGCAGGCGGUUUGCUAAGACCGAUGUGAAAUCCCCGGGCUCAACCUGGGAACUGCAUUGGUGACUGGCAGGCUAGAGUAUGGCAGAGGGGGGUAGAAUUCCACGUGUAGCAGUGAAAUGCGUAGAGAUGUGGAGGAAUACCGAUGGCGAAGGCAGCCCCCUGGGCCAAUACUGACGCUCAUGCACGAAAGCGUGGGGAGCAAACAGGAUUAGAUACCCUGGUAGUCCACGCCCUAAACGAUGUCAACUAGUUGUUGGGGGUUCAUUUCCUUAGUAACGUAGCUAACGCGUGAAGUUGACCGCCUGGGGAGUACGGUCGCAAGAUUAAAACUCAAAGGAAUUGACGGGGUCAUAGCUGUUUCC
rnacentral:rRNA from 1 species